GACGAACGCUGGCGGCGUGCUUAACACAUGCAAGUCGAACGGAAAGGCCCCUUUGGGGGUACUCGAGUGGCGAACGGGUGAGUAACACGUGAGUAACCUGCCCUUGACUUCGGGAUAACUUCAGGAAACUGGGGCUAAUACCGGAUAGGAAUCCUUGCUGCAUGGUGGGGGUUGGAAAGCUUCGGCGGUUUUGGAUGGACUCGCGGCUUAUCAGCUUGUUGGUGGGGUAGUGGCUUACCAAGGCUUUGACGGGUAGCCGGCCUGAGAGGGCGACCGGCCACAUUGGGACUGAGAUACGGCCCAGACGCCUACGGGAGGCAGCAGUGGGGAGUAUUGCACAAUGGGCGGAAGCCUGAUGCAGCAACGCCGCGGGCGGGAUGACGGUCUUCGGGUUGAAAACCGCUUUCAGCAGGGGCGAAGCUUGUGGUGACGGUACCUGCAGAAGAAGCACCGGCUAACUACGUG
rnacentral:rRNA from 1 species